AACGAACGCUGGCGGCAGGCUUAACACAUGCAAGUCGAGCGCCCCGCAAGGGGAGCGGCAGACGGGUGAGUAACGCGUGGGAAUCUACCCAUCUCUACGGAAUAACGCAUGGAAACGUGUGCUAAUACCGUAUACGUCCGUCGGGAGAAAGAUUUAUCGGAGAUGGAUGAGCCCGCGUUGGAUUAGCUAGUUGGUGGGGUAAAGGCCUACCAAGGCGACGAUCCAUAGCUGGUCUGGGAGGAUGAUCAGCCACACUGGGACUGAGACACGGCCCAGACUCCUACGGGAGGCAGCGGUGGGGAAUAUUGGACAAUGGGCGCAAGCCUGAUCCAGCCAUGCCGCGUGAGUGAUGAAGGCCCUAGGGUUGUAAAGCUCUUUCACCGGUGAAGAUAAUGACGGUAACCGGAGAAGAAGCCCCGGCUAACUUCGUGCCAGCCGCCGCGGUAAAAC
rnacentral:rRNA from 1 species